AGUGGCAUAUUAAUCAAAAUCCUUUCAUUCCCAAUGAAAUUGGUGCAUUUUUUUGAAUUUUUAUGACUGUGAAGUUAUUCCCGGUUGAUUACCCAUAAUCCUUCCGUUCCUGAAGUCCACCGACAUGAACUUAGCCACUUCCUUUUCCUACUGGACCAGGAAGACGAGUGGAAGUGUUAAGGGCUUGGUGGGCUUAAAGUAAGAGAAACGUGGUUUUUGUUUGUUAAACAUGCUAAAUUGUGGACUAGUAGUGCCAUUUUGAUUGUAUUUUGUAUGAGUUGUGUGUCUUGUGCCCCAAAAUGGAGAAAAUUAGGAAAAGAUCAGGGCGUAGCACACGCCUUCUUUUGGUGAGUUUUUGAAGAAAUUCGAGCCAAGAAGGAGAGGAGCAACAGGUCUGGAGAAGAAUCUGGAUUCAAGGUCAGUGAUUUUUUUAAUGGCGGCUCGGUUUGCGAAAAUUUUUUUUUUUGCGGUUUUGUGUUAAAUAUCUUGUAGUGAAUUAUUGUUAAUUGGGGUAAAUGAUCGGCAAAUAUUAAUUAAUAUUUUGCCUUGUCACAGUAAGUAAACAUUAAAAAUUUUUUUUCUUAUUUAGGGCAAGGUAAGUUUCGAUUUUUAAAUUUUAAAUUUCGUUAAUUAUUUGAUAACUGUGAUGAUAUGAGGUAGUUCUUAGCCCACUCACGCUAGAGCGCUGGCAAGGACAUGAUUUUUGUGAUCAAAAUCUGAGUUAUCACAUUUUUUUCAUGAUUUUGGUUGAAUGAACAAACUGUAGUAGCUGCACCCUUGAAUUUAUUACUAUUACUUGGUGUUUUGGACCAUUUACAAAACAAGAUUUUGAUUGUGAUUUGAUUUUUUCUUUCAGAAACUUUGCUAGUUCAACACGAGUUUAGGCAUAGUGACAAACUGCUAGUUCCCACUUGCACGACUACGUGCUAAAAAACUUUUGAGUGUUGUGAACAUUUAUAGGUUUAAGAGUUGUUUUUUUUAGAAAAGUGUUUUUUGUAGUUUGAGCUACCACUUAUUAAACUUUGUAAUGCUAUUUAACUUUACAAUAUGCACAUGUAAGUGAGCAUUUUGUUUUUCUGGUUAUAAUUACCCUUAAUGCUCGUUUUUUUUCCUCACAAACUAAACAACAUAAACCAAGGUGUGCUUGAAAAUCCGGUAACGUAUAAUAAUAGGUUUGUUAUACAAAAAAAAACGAAAGAAAAAACAAAAGACUUGUAACUUUUUGAAUGUGUUAAAUGUGUGCCAUUCUUAACAGUAAACAUUUUGUUUUUUCUGGUUAAACCAUGUUCAGUUUUGUUAUCUCACAUAAACUGAAAAUAAAAAAAACUUAAUUUGUAGAUAUACAAUGUACAGUGUAUGUACAUACUUUAAUGUUUCACCUAUGUUAAUAAUUGUACUUGAUAUUUUUUUGUAUUUGUAUUGCGUUCUUAGAAAAAUAAAAAAAAACAAAAAAAUUUAAAUUAGAAAAUCAAAAAAAAAUUAAAAACAAAAAAUCAAAAAAAAUUAAAAACAAAAAACCAAAAAAAAAAUUAAAAAUAAAAAAAAACAAAAAAAAUUAAAAACGAAAAUCCAAAAAAAAAUUAGGUUUAGGUUCGACGUUUCACAUAGCUUUAGGAUUGUUAAAGGAGGUGGAUAUUAAAAGAUUGAAACUUCAUAAAGGACCAAGAAAUCUUUGUAUCUUUUUGAAUGUAUACAAAUUCAGCUUUCCCGUUGUUAAAAAAUCAGGUAAAUCUACAAUAUUAAAUUUUAUACGUAAAUGGUCUAUUACACCAAUUAACAGUUCUCAGUGAUAAUUUAAAUUUUCGGGUGUUGUACGUAAUUAAAAAACUAAUUACUAAACUAAAGUAAUUAAUUAAAAAAUCUUUUUUUCAAGGGCUUUUGUUUUGCUGUAUUCGUGAAAAUGUAACACCUAAUUAAUUUUUUUAUUCUAGUUUUGUUGAUCGAAAGAGGAGGAUCGAAAGAGUAUGUGUGUUGUAUGGAAUUGUGAAUGUAAAUUUGAGCGUUUUUUAUUGAUUUAUAAUUUCUGCAAUAGGUGCAUUAUUUUGUUAAAGGUCGAGAAGAGCUGGACCCAAGGUAAGAUUUUUUUGAAUUUGUAUUUGAUGAAGUAAGAUAAAAAAAAAACGCGAUGUCUAAUAGUUUUUGUAUUUUUUUAAUUUUACUGUUAGGGGUGAUAAAAUGGCUGUGAUGAACAAAUGCCCAAGUUGCGCUUGUCACUGAUGUGAACCAUAAUCUGAGCCAUUUAAUUUUUUCGGUGUCUUCAUUAGAUUUGCUUUAACCUAUCAGUUUUUAGUGUAACAAAUUAAUAAAUUAUCACAGAAUUAAAAUAUCAAAUAACGUAACACUUCCAAUUUGUUAUGUCUUAAAAAUUUAAGCAGUUCAAGAGGUUAAGGUGAAAUUAAGGAAAAUGUAGCAAAAUUAUUUUCAAUUUGCUUGGAUUGAUUUUCUCUGUCAACGGUGUUAUAUACCAUUUUAUACUUUACAAACUUACAAAACUUCACUUAGUUUUUUCUUUGAUGAACUUGAAAAUCAAUGUUUUUUUUUUCAGAUGAUUAUCCCAGUGAUAGUCAUGAGCCUCGUUGUUGAGGUAUCUUUUAAAGUUUAAUUUAUUAUAAUAAUGGUUGAUAUUGUGUAUUUACAGGUAACCAGUUUUGGUUUUAUAGUGAAGUAAGUGUUACAGUAAGACAAUAGUAAUACCUUUGUUGUGUUCACCACUACAUUUGUUAACUGUAUUUUAGUAUUAGUUGUUAAUCACUGAUUGACCAAUGCAUAUUUUUUAAUGCUUAUGUGUUACCUCUUGUAGAGUAACAAAUAGAAUAAGUUAAUUUAAUUGACCACACUUCCACCAUACAUUUCAUCUUUUGAUUUGUGUAAAUAUUUAAUCUUGUAUAUAUUUUUUGUGCUACACUUCCUCAUCGUAUGUACAUAUUUAGAUUUAAAUGAGUUGUAAAUAAUGUGUAGUACACUGUUGUACAGUUAGGGUAAUGUAAAAUGAAAAGAGAUCUUUAUUGUGUGUAAAUUUUUAUAUCUAGGUGAUUUGUAUACAGUCAUCCUUUUUAUACUGUUGUUCCAAGAGUUCAACUACACAAUUUUGGUAAGCAAUCCUCUUUUUUUUUCAUUUAGUUUGAAAUAAAAUGGUGUAUAAGACCAACGUUACAUUUUCCUUAAAAUUUACAUUUUGGCCAAAAAAAUUUGGGUAAGUUUGUCAAUUUUCCAGUAAGUAUUUAAGUGCUUUUUAAUUUUUUUUAAUAAAAAUGCUAGUAAGUUAAAUGUACAAGAGUUAAAUGUUUUUCCACAUUUUUUAAGAGUUAAUAAAUAAAUUUAUCUUUUUGUUUAAACAAUUUUUGAAAUGGCUGUGAUGAGAAUAGGUAAUGAAUCUUCAAUCCUUUGCCCACUCAUGCUAGAGUGCUGGUUGGAUUUGAAUGAAGAUGAACCAAAACCUGAGCCAUUUACAUUUUUUUAUUUCGAUAUUUCAAAAUUUAUUUAUUAAUUUUUUUUUGGAUACGUGAGCGUAAAUAAAAUGUUUUUUUUUUGAACAGACAGGUAUUUAGUACAUUUUUACAACUCCUUUUUUAAGUUAUUUAUUUAUUGAUUUUUGUCUGUAAAGUUCUACAUUUUUUUUACAGAAUUGGACACUUUUGUUUUGAUCAUCACCUUCGUCAACGUUUUGAGUUUUACAACAAAAUAAAUAUUCAUUUAUGUCACAUUUUUCUGUUAUGGACCAUUUUAUGAAAAUAAAAAGUAAAGUAAUAUAACAACGUAAUUUUUUGUUGACGAUACUUUUGUCCCACAUUCUUAAUUAAAGCUUUUACAAUAGUGUUCACUAAAAAUUACGUUCCUCAUAGUAAUAUUCGGAAUAUCAACUUACGUUGUGUUUUCUAUUUCAGUAGCUUUCGUCAAGAUGAUCACUUGAUAGACAAUGUUGAGAAAAGUUCAAUUGUGCAUCUCAGAAACUUUGGUGGUUUAGCAAUUAGGAUUGUUUCUUAGAUUAUAAGCUUUUCGUUUAAUUUGUCCUUACAUUAGUUCGUUUAAUUUGUUUGUAUUAAAAUACCCAGAUAAUACCCUUUCAUUCAUGUGACUAGUAAAUAUACGUAGUUUGUGUUUGUGUUCGAAAACCAAAUUUUUCUUCUAAUAUUAACAGAAAACAAAAUAAAAUACUCUCAAUGCGUCGCCUACUUGUAAUUGUCUUAAGUUAUAUAAUUUUUUUUGUUGCCUUUCACUAAGAACCAACUCCAUUCUUUCCUAGUCGAAAGAAUUGGAAGUUCGUUGAAGGUGUUUGAGGAACUUAAUGGUACUUUGUAUAAAAAUAACCCAUGUUUAAACAGCGAUCGUUUUAUGAUCGAAAAUUCGUGUUUCGUUUUUGUUGUUUGUUUGUGAGGAACUUUAUCAACUUUUGUAUUACUUAGUUUAGUUAUUUUUUAGAUUUAAGGAAACUUCGUCCACCGCUCUUGCACAGUUUUUCUACAACAAUCAAGUCUAGACGGACACCUAAUUCAGGUAAACAAUCCACUUUCUGUGUUUUUGCAUAAAAUGGCCCAUAACGCUAA